CCAGCUGGGAGGAACCAGUGGC
rnacentral:miRNA from 3 species